rnacentral:lncRNA from 1 species
AUGUUUAAAAUUAUAUUUACAGAUACAAUGAAACUCACAUCUGUAACUGUCAUUGCAGUGCAAAAAACAAAACAAAACAAAACAAAAAACACACAAAAAAAAAAUAACACAGAUUUAAAAAAAAAAAAAAAAAAAGAGGGAGAGAAAGAGAAAGAAAGAAAGAGAGGGAGAGAGAGAGAGGGAGAGAGAGAGAGGGAGAGAGAGAGAGGGAGAGAGAGAGAAAGAAAGAAUAAGAUGUUUCCAGUGAAAUUCUUAAAUUCUUAAAAUUUUAAGUUGAGUACACACCUGAGGUACUUCUCAAGGAGUUUUUGCCUGGCUAUAGCACAUCACUGUGUUCCCUGUAAGGACUUAAUCCAUAUUAAUGCAACAUGUGCAUAAAAUCUGAGGGGAAUCAAACAAGCAUUUCCUUCAGAGAGUAGCCCAUAAAAAAGCUGUUAAACAAAACUCCCACUAGCCAUCACACAACCAUCAACUUAUUUCAGCAAUAUUAUUUUUCUGCCAAAAAGAAAAGGUUUAUUUGAGGUAAAAGACUUUGCUGCAGUUCCAUCUGCUGUUUUAUAGCAAGGCUGUGGACUCUCAAUCCAGUUUCCUUAUCUGAGAGUUGAUGCAACAUAAAAGAUACUGGGCAGUGCCUGAUCUGUCUGAACUUCUAGUAUGUCCUUGAUUAUUUCCUGAAAUAUUUAAUUCCUUUUCAUUUUUUUUCCCUCCUUUUCCUUUUCCUAACUUUAACUUUCCUUUAACUUUAACUUUUCCUUUAUUUUUUCAUUUUUCUUCCAGAGAUUAAAAGAUGUAUGUCCUGGAGAUAGGUUGACCCAAUCUAGGAUAAUAUAGGAAUUUCUGAAUGCCCUGGAUGACCUUUCUACAUAGUUUCUGUGUUGUUGCUGCUUAGGUACAGAAAGGUAUUUUUUUAUUAUUUUUAUUAUUUUUAAUUAUUUCAGAGAGUAACUAAAGAGAGUGAGUGAGCAUUGACAUAAACAUAAAUAUCUCUGAGCCUAGUGAUCCCUAUUUAUGUUUAUAAUUGGGUUUUUAAGUAGGUGGGAAUGACUACCACAACAGUCCAUUUUGUAACCUUUUUAUUUUUAACUUCAUAUCCACCACCAAAGAAUUUCCAUGUAUUUAUUACAAAAAGCACUUUCAUCCCAGUGAACUUCAGCAUUAGGUGACAUUGAAGAAGAAUUACCUUUGGUUUGAAUAAAUCUCAAAUGACUUUCCUGUUUGGGAGCUAA